rnacentral:tRNA from 1 species
CCUUUGAUGGCCGAGAUAUUAGGCAUUAAGCUUUUAACUUAACUACAGAUUUUCUUCAAAG